CACCUUUCUUUCACUUCUGGAGCAUUGGCUCGUGAACCUUAGAGGUGUGAUCCUGAAAGGAGCCAAACUCCCCCUGAAGCCAGUGAGAUUCCUGCUCAGCAGUGGUUCACAGGACCAGACCUAGACCGAAGGGGUUCAGUACAGGACGGAGGAGCAGACAAUCUUGCGUAGUCAAGAACACUUGGACUGUACAGGAAUGGUUUAAAUACGCUUGAAUGGCUGGGGGCGCAUAUGGAGGUGAGGGGAGGAACGAGAGCCUGUGAAGGAAGGCAGAACAUGUUGAUUUUACCUUCCGGAUGGCAGUGGGGGAAAGAGAUAAGGCUACCUGUUGACCUGCAAUAAGUCAGAUCCUCUUCUGAUCAGAGGAAUCUCCUUAAGCUCUAUGUUUAAAGGGGUAUUCUGGCUUCAGGACGCCCCGGGUGCCUCUGGAGUCAUGGUGUGGAUGUGCAAUGGGCAACCUGACACUUGAGGUGGGAUAGGAUGGAUUUUCCUAUCUGUCUGCUCAACAACCAGAGGUCUGUCUCAAGUUGCCUUUGGUUUUGCUGCUGGCUGGAAGGAAGGAAAUCUAGAGUGUAGUCAGGUAGGUGGAAGGGCAUCCAUGAGAUGCAUGUUUCAGACACACUUGGGACCCAAUCCUCUGAUCAUGCUUAAUUUCCAGGAUCCUUAGCACUUCCCAGGAUCUGGCCAUUAACCAACAUUUUGUCUCUGCAGCUGCACUCUUUGCCCUUUCCUUUGCUUGCUCAGCCUGAAAAUGAAUAAGAAUCUCUUUGGCCAAACCCAGUUAAUCCUGUUUAGGUAAUUCUUUUGUUGGUGAAUAACCUACAUGGUAUUUUGUGGGUGGGAGGAGGCUGGGUAAUCUGGCUUGCAGGCAAAAGGACCAAGGUCCUUGCGAAGAACAGUUUAGAGGUGGAAGGCCCAGUUCUGCUUCACUUCCCAACAGAACCAGUAGAGCUACUUUGCAGAAAUAAAGGUGAUAGCAUCUGGCUUCAUACUUGGAGAGCAGGGAUGAGGAAGAAACUACAAGGGAAGCAAAACCAUUACAGCAGAGUUGGAGCAUAUGUCUGGGUAAGGUGAAGAAGAGAAACCUGCCCAUAUUCAGGAAUACAGAGAGUGAACUUCCCCUAAGAAAGAUGGGACAAGAAGAAGGACCACAAUCUGCUAUUUCUAGGGGAUGAAUGGAGAGUCACUGAAACAGAGUUUCAGAUUAGGUGACUAAUGUUUUCGGCUAUAGAAAAUGACAAAGAAAGCAUAUAAGGUCUCCAAGAGAGAGAGAAAAGAAAGCAUAGUGACUCACUGUGUAAGUCUGCAUCUGAAACGUAAAGCGCAAAAUGGUGACCAUCUCCCGCUACCCCCUGCAACAGGCAAGCAGAAAGCUUUCUGGGGGAAGGUGCAGUUCACAGAAAACAGAAUGCCCUGUCCUUUUGGUGAGAUAGCUACACCUCUCCUUCAUUCAGGAGGGUCCCAAAAUGAUUUAUAAACUAUGCAGAUACAAAGGCUCUAAUGAAAUGCAGCUACCUUUGGAUCAAAGUGCAUCAUAUUAUACAGGAAUCAUACAGUCAUAGAGAAGUAGGGCUGGAAGGGACCUUCAGAGGUCAUCUAGUCCAGCCCCCUGCCUGAGGUUGGAUCAUCCCUACCCUAGCAAAGGGAGAGAUUGGAAGUUUUGACCAAGGACACUGGGACAAGCCCUGACCCUCAUGAAAAGUGCCUUGGGAUCCUUAUUGUCCAUGUACAGCAGGCAGUUCUGAUUGUAAGGCUGAAGAUGAACUACACCUGUCCCUCCAGUAGACUGCAACAUCAUUAAUGCCAGGGCACAAAGGAAUGUGUCAGCUUGGCCAAAACCCAAACCUGUUCCCUCUAAGAAAUCUAAUAUUUUAAACUUACAGCUUAACACACUUAGCUGUCUUCUCCAGUGGCGAGCUAGGAAGCCCUGCCAGCCUUCUUUAUCUCCUUCUGCUGUAAACUGUGCUGCUGAAGUCCCUGGAGCCUUUCUGAACACUUAUGUUUGCUGAGAACCUCGUGCGCAAGCAUAUGAACCCUGCACUCGAACACAGUUAUCAACAUAAAGCAAAGAAGAAUAGAUUGGCUGAACCCCAUUCUCUUAUGAAUUAAGGCAUCAGAAAUGGGACCUGCAAUACAUCUCUCCUGGGUGGCCCCAGUUUUCUGAAAAGAAACAAUAGGUUGGCAGUGGUACAGAUGGGGACAGUUUUGUCUGCAAACCACAUCCAAUAAAGAUUGACAAAGGCAUAUGUAAGAGUUUGGGUGAUGUGUCUGUGCCAAUACGCUUUUGUGGUAUGACCUGGGUGGUCACCAGUAGGUAGUGGCAGAGGAGGAGAAAGACCUGAUUGUAUUACUUGACUGCAGGAUGAUUGUGAAUCUCCGAUAUCAUACAACCAUGGAAAAGCAAAUGCAAUCCAAGGAAGUAUUAGGCUGAGGUAUUUCCAGUAGGAAUGGGGAAGAUUUAACACGGUUGGAUAAGCUAUUGAUGAGACCUCAUCUAGAAUACUGUGAGCAAGUAUGGCCAUCCAUGUUCAGGAAAGAUGAAUUCAGACGGGAAGAGGUGCAGAGAAGAGCUAGUGGCAUGAUCAGGGGAACAAAGAGGAAAUGAAAAGAGCUUGGCAAAAUAAAGAUAGAGAAAGGAGAGGAUUUCUAUACAUGCCAUAAGGGGUGAAUGCAAGUGUUGGAGAAGGGCUGUGCUAGCUAAAGGAGAAUGGUGCCUUACAAUCAAAUGGGUAUUAACUGGUGAUGGAUUUAGGCAGGGUAUUAGAAGAAGGUUUCUGCAAUCAAAACAGUGAAGGUCUGAUAGAAACUUCUAAUGUGAGUAGUCAGGACAGAAUACCCCCAGCUGCUUUUCGGAUGGCGCUUGAUCAGUUUAUGAAUGAAAUUAUACAACAGGAUUGCCCGAGAUAGCUGGGGAUUGGACUUGAUGACCAAGACAACCUUGAAUUCCAUUUUUGUUCUGUGAAUCCCAUGUUACGUUUCAUCCUUGCUUUUGAAUUUAACCAUUAGCAUGGCUUUCAACAUUCAUUUUGCAACAGAAACUGUACACUUCACUGGACUCUCUCUGGGAAGCCAUGACAGGGCAACUGGUUGCCAUCAGGACUGAACGUGGCUCUACCCUCAUGGACAAUGAAUCCGUCGCUCAUUUAGAGUUGGAAUGACUCUGUGCCGAGGUGCCAAACUGGGGUUUGGAGUCUGGAAGUUACAAUUGGUUGGGAAUUUUUUGACAAAGCAGUUUUCCAUUGU